rnacentral:misc_RNA from 1 species
UCAGGAUCGAUAUCUCGUAUUUUUCCUCUGCGUGGAACAGAGUCUGACGAUAUGGAUGCAGUAUGGCUUCGAUACUCUGGCAUGCUUCUGGGAAUAGUCUGGUUUCUCCCGCUUUUAUCGUGUUCUUGCUACUUUGCCCUCGCAGCAGUACAGAAUGCGAUCAAAAGUUCAUAAGCACAAAGGGCGGUCCACCGAAUGGAACCUUCCACGCCCCAAUGUUGAUUAACCCCGAGAGGGAUUCCCGACAAUGCGUGUACACGUUUUUCGCUGGACAAGGACAACGAGUCGAAUUGGUUUUCACUUCGUUUGGGCUACGUGGGACACCGCCGGGUGGAGCUGCUGUUGGAGAGUUACCCACUUGUCUUCAUGAAUAUAUGGACUUGUACGCGGAAAUACGAUCAGAGAACACGACCAAGUUGGUGGAAACGCCUUUCGGUGGACGUUUCUGCGGUCCGAUUCCACCUCGCAGGCGCGUCUCUCUUUACCAGGGAAUCGCCCUUAGUUUCUUCACCGAUAAAAAUAUCACGUUCCCCAGCCUCUUCAGCGGUACUUACGCGUUUAUCAAUGCAUCUGAAUUCGAGGUCGGAACGCCAGCCCCUAGCACACCAUGUUCUUUCACGGUAAACUCCGAGCACAAACGUAACGGUAAUAUAUUAUCACCUACGUAUCCGGGCACAUAUCCAAAGGGUCUUACGUGUAGCUAUCAAUUUACUGGAAAAGCCGGGCAACGAGUGCGCCUGGAGUUUCGAGACUUUGAUCUGUUCUUCGGGGGUCAACACUGUCCUUUGGAUUACGUAAAAGUGUACGACGGUUCAAAUAAUACCGCGGCCGUUAUAGGAACGUAUUGUGGUCAACAACGAAAUUUGGUAUUAUACUCGUCAGAGUCGAGCUUGUACGUGCUGUUUGUUACGCUUCAACGUACAGCGAACACGCAAAAUCGAGGAUUCAAGGGUAUCUUUGAGUUUUCCGAGAGUUUCGUUCAAUUAGGCUUCAUAACCACUUACAAGGGUGAGCAUAUACGAGGAUCGGAAUGCGAUCAGAAGAUCUUAAGUAAAAAGGAGUCUUCCGGAUUCGUAGUUAGCCCCAACUAUCCAUAUCCGUACAUACCCAAGGUGGUGUGCCGAUACUUCAUCUAUGGAAUGCAGGACUCGCAACAUCUCGAGCGCGUUCGAUUGGAGUUCACAUUCUUCAAGAUACCGAAAAAUAAGACGAUAGGCGACUCCUCCUGUACCGAUGGAUACCUCAAGUUGUACUUGAAGGGACAAGAAGCAACGGAUUCUUACGAUAAAUUCGAUCACGAAUUGUGCGGUGCGACGAGCAAUCCGAGCCAUGUAGUUAGCGAUGGGCCGAGACUCGUGAUGGUGUUUAGCAGUGGAGAAUCUCAAGGGCAAGGGUUUAAAGCACGGUACAGUUUUGAAACGGAAUACAAAAUACCUGGUACCGCGGCACCCGAUGGUAGCUGCACCUUUACAUACCGCAGUUCCUCUCGCAAAAGGGGAGACUUUAAUUCUCCGCGACAUCCUAGUAACUAUCCGAGCGACACAAAUUGCACUUAUCUUUUCUUAGUGACUCCGGACGAACAAGUUACCUUAAUAUUCGAUUACUUUAAAGUACGCACGAAGAAUACGAACGUGACAGGCGGCCAUUACGGACUUGAUAUUUGUCAAGACGAUUGGUUGGAGAUAUACAACAUGUACCAAGACAAUACGGAGAAGUUGAUAGGUAGAUAUUGCGGCAGUACAUCCCCCGGUCCCGUCGAAUCGAAUCUCAGUGCGCUCGGUUUAAGGGUAAUUCUACAUUCCGACUCGGAGCUGGUUUAUAGCGGCUUUAAAGCGCGUUACACCUUCGAAGUGGCGAAAUCCAUCUUUGGAGAUUGCGGAUCAAAUAUAAGCAGCGAGAAUUACGGAAUCAUCGCCAGUCCAAAUUACCCGGAUAAAUACGACGGACCCGCGAGGAAUCUUGCUAGUAAAACAUGCAAUUGGUUCAUACAAGUCCAACCGAAUCGACGAAUAUUGUUAAAUUUCGAGCUGUUUUCGGUAGAGGGUGAUCAAUCAGUUCGUGGAUGUCCAGCUGCGGUGCUACGCAUGUGGUAUUCCGUGUCGUCUACGCCUAUCGAAUUGUGCGGCGUUAAAACGCCGAACGUUGAAUGGACCUACCUUUCCGAGGAUCAUAAUAUGCGUCUUAGUUUCAUAUUGGCCGACAAAGCCGUAGGACAACAAGGAUUCAAAGCAACGUGGACCGAAGUAAGCACAAAUAUCGACUGCCAGAAUGAAUUUUUCUGCGGCAAAAGUAAAUACUGCAUUGCAGAGUCGCUUCGGUGUAAUAACUUUUAUAAUUGUGGCCCGGCCGACACUUCGGACGAAGAAAACUGUGCAGCAUCAGCCCCAUUGUCACCAGCACUGGCUGGAGUCUCUACCAUGCUUCUUCUCUCUCUGUGCUUUGUGUUCGUGGCCAUCUGAGCCCUUCAUGAAGCUUCCAACGAUCCGGCAUGUUAUGAUCUCCCCUAUCACGUGAUACAGUUGUGCAGACGGAUAAUUACGCCGUUCCAGCGGUUUAUGCUAUCGGUGCA